GGUCAGUACAUCUCCGGAGCAAUCCUGUUCGAGGAAACUCUUUAUCAGUCGACCACAGAUGGUAAGAAGAUGGUUGAUGUUCUUACUCAACAGAACAUAAUGCCAGGGAUCAAGGUCGACAAGGUAAUCGCUUAAAUCAUGUGCCAAUGCUCCUGUGACGUCGUCUGCUAGGAGAUGGGCAGGGCUGUGUUUGACGCCAUGUUGUCUUUUCCUCAGGGUUUAGUGCCACUCACUGGCUCAAAUGACGAAUCAUGGUGCCAAGGACUGGACGGCCUGGCAUCGCGAUGCGCAGCAUACUAUCAACAGGGUGCCCGCUUUGCUAAAUGGUAGAAUUCACUUCAUAAGUUGCAGGAACCUUCCUCGUGCAUGUUCUCAGAGGACUUACAUCAAACACAUUGCAGGCGUACAGUGGUCAGCAUUCCAAAUGGCCCAUCGGCUCUUGCAGUCAAGGAAGCUGCCUGGGGCUUGGCUCGAUACGCUGCCAUCGCACAAGUACACACACUCGGUUCCUUGUGUUGUUUCUUCAUCUUAUACUGCUAAAUCAUUGGAUUAUGUAUAUGAGAAGCUAUGGGGACAUGGGGGCUAAAAGAACUAAGCUGACCUCAAGUUCUCUUCUAAUGGGUUUGCAGGACAAUGGGUUGGUGCCGAUUGUGGAGCCAGAAAUCCUGCUUGACGGAGACCACGGAAUCGAGAGGACCUUCGAGGUUGCACAGAAAGUAUGGGCUGAGGUCUUCUUCUACCUGGCCGAGAACAACGUCAUGUUCGAAGGCAUCCUCCUGAAGCCGAGCAUGGUGACCCCGGGCGCUGAGUGCCCAGAGAAAGCCACACCAAAGCAAGUUGCUGAGUACAC
rnacentral:lncRNA from 1 species